UUUUGUUUCUAAACCAACUGAAAUGACUAUAAUAUUUAUAUCGAUUUAAAAAAUCGAUUAAAAUUUUUAUUUUAAGAUUAUUGUUUUAAAAAAACCAUUAAUUUGGUUCUAAAAGUUGAAAAAUAAUAUAAAUAUAUUUUAUAAUCUCACAUUUCUAACGUAUGUAUGAUUUUCAAUGGUUUUUAACGGGAUAGAAAUAGGUCCUUGUUGCAACGAGGGACAACUCACUUUGAAUGGAUAACAAUAUAAUAAAGAGUGCAUUUGGUUGAAUCAACUGCGUGUCUGAUGUCCAUGCAUAUACAAACUACACGCUCGUGCCAAACUACUGUGUGCGAAAAAGAUGAUAUAAACACAACAAAAGAAACAUAAAUUGUAUAUCACAUCGACAGAGUAUGUAAUAGGUAAUUUGCCGUCACGUUAUACCUACGUGGUUUUCAUUAUAUUGUAAAGGAGGCGAUAAUAUCCAAAACUUAAUAUUUCUUAAAUUUAAAUUCCACGAAGAAAAAAUGCACUAUUUCUAAAAUUAAGUUAUAAUUUCUACACUUGUCUUGUGCAUUAUUUACCUCAUAACGGCAUAGAUACAAACAAUAGACUAAUAAAAAAUUGUAAACCGUCACGGAAAAGCGUUAUGGUUACCCUGGUUACCCCUGAUUUCGGUAGGUGUUGGGCCCGAGAAGGCGGACGGGGAUGGUAAGUACGUACCGCGAACCGAGACUAUUCACUCGGAGUUAUCUUGUCCGUGUGCAGACGGCAGACCACGAACGUUCGCGUCCGAGACGGUUUCCAAAGACACAAAAGACAUAAAAUGUGGCAAUUCAUAGCAGACUCGUAUGCAGUAUGAUUUAAAUAUAAUCACUGCUAAUUUUAUUUAUCAUUCUUAUUUUUUUAUGUAGGCUGGCCAAACCACGGACAAUCUAAUUUGACAUAUUUUUACUUGCUGGCUAGUAUAAUAUUAUUAUAUAUAAUAAAAAUGUUUCCUAGGUGUUAAUGAAUAACAACGAAUGAAUUAUCAGACGAAUUUUGGAUAGCCUACAGAUUACAUCACAUAUUAUUUUGUUAUAUUGAUAAUUCUUAAAAGCUACGAUUAUCAACGACUCUUUUCUAUAUAAUAUACCGUGGGUAACAGUAUACCUAGUUAGAAAAACGGCGUUUCGCGCGUCUUGGUGGGACGCAAAGGAUUGUCGCCAAGAUGAGGCCGGCAAUGUCGAGCAAUCCAUCAAACCACCUUGGUCAUACGACGUGCUACCGUCGAGUUUCAGCCUCAGCCGCAAAUGCCUCGAACGCCGCAGACACCGCAGACUCCGCCAUCGCCACCAGCGAGCGACCAGACCUCGCACGAUAAUCACCUGUUUGUCGACUGAUUGACGGCCUCCGUAAAAAAAGAGCACCCGUUACAUUCACCUGUUACGGUACAGUUUUGCAUAGAUGUAAUGUGAUGAAUUUAUAUGGAGAGGCUAUAGAAAAUAUUGUACAUUUUUAAGUACCUAUUAUAAUUACCAUGUAUCUAUAACAAAUUAAUAGUUCAAUCAUUUCUAAUAAAAUCUAUAUACCUACUAAAAAGCCGAAAUGGAAAUAGUACCUACGCUUUGAAUUGUUUUAAUUGUUUACUCAAAUUAUUAUUU